rnacentral:lncRNA from 10 species
AUUUUGCUAGGGACAUUACCAACUAUCCAGAAGACAGAGAUGGGAAAUGUAAAGGGACUGCAAAAAAGCCAUGUUACAUAAAGAACCGUGAAAGAAACUGGAAAUAAUUUCCUUAGAGGACAGAAGAUUCCUAGGAAAUAAGACAAUGAACAAUGAGUGUUGGAGAAUGUCCUUUCCUGCCUCUUAAUCAUUCUGAAUCGAAACUAAUGAUAAACUUCAAUCAAUGACAUUGAGGG